UACGUAGGCAGCAAGCGUUGUUCGGAGUUACUGGGCGUAAAGGGUGCGUAGGCGGCUAUUUAAGUUUGGUGUGAAAUCUCCCGGCUCAACCGGGAGGGUGCGCCGAAUACUGAGUGGCUAGAGUGCGGGAGAGGAAAGUGGAAUUCCUGGUGUAGCGGUGAAAUGCGUAGAUAUCAGGAGGAACACCGGUGGUGUAAACGGCUUUCUGGACCGUAACUGACGCUGAGGCACGAAAGCGUGGGCAGCAAACAGG
rnacentral:rRNA from 1 species